rnacentral:lncRNA from 1 species
GUCAAUGCCCAGGGAUACGCUGGGCAAGAAGGGUCACCAGGGGCUCAAGCAAGGAACCAGGCCAGGGAAUGGAGAGCCAAGAACUGAGGCUGGGGCAGCAGGCUCAGGACAGUGGACAGGGCUGGGGAGGGAAGGCAGAGGAUCUGGCAGGGGGAAGCAGGCUCUAGGCCCAGGGCCACUGCCAGGUGUCAGGGUUUUGGGUACAGGACUAAGGCCCCAGGGAGAGCAAGGGGCCC